rnacentral:rRNA from 1 species
GGGAAUCUUCCGCAAUGGGCGAAAGCCUGACGGAGCAACGCCGCGUGAGUGAUGAAGGUCUUCGGAUCGUAAAACUCUGUUAUUAGGGAAGAACAAACGUGUAAGUAACUGUGCACGUCUUGACGGUACCUAAUCAGAAAGCCACGGCUAACUACGUGCCAGCAGCCGCGGUAAUACGUAGGUGGCAAGCGUUAUCCGGAAUUAUUGGGCGUAAAGCGCGCGUAGGCGGUUUUUUAAGUCUGAUGUGAAAGCCCACGGCUCAACCGUGGAGGGUCAUUGGAAACUGGAAAACUUGAGUGCAGAAGAGGAAAGUGGAAUUCCAUGUGUAGCGGUGAAAUGCGCAGAGAUAUGGAGGAACACCAGUGGCGAAGGCGACUUUCUGGUCUGUAACUGACGCUGAUGUGCGAAAGCGUGGGGAUCAAACAGG